rnacentral:rRNA from 1 species
AUUGAACGCUAGCGGGAUGCCUUACACAUGCAAGUCGAACGGAGUGGCGAACGGGUGAGUAAUGUAUCGGCACGUGCCCAGUAGCGGGGGAUAACUACGCGAAAGCGUAGCUAAUACCGCAUACUAUUGGAGCGGCAGAUAUGGGGUUAGCUUGUUGGAGGGGUAACGGCUAACCCAGGCGAGGAGCCGUAGCGGGUUUGAGAGGACGACCAGCCAAACUGGGACGGAGACACGGCCCAGACUCCUACGGGAGGCAGCAGUGGGGAAUGUUGGACAAUGGGGGAAACCCUGAUCCAGCCAUCCCGCGUGUGCGAUGAAGGCCUUCGUGUUGUAAAGCACUUUUGGCAGGAAAGCGGUACCUGCAGAAUAAGCACCGGCUAACUACGUGCCAGCAGCCGCGGUAAUUC